AUAUCAAUAAGCGGAGGAAAAGAAACCAACUGGGAUUGCCUCAGUAACGGCGAGUGAAGCGGCAACAGCUCAAAUUUGAAAUCUGGCCCCCCUGGGGGUCCGAGUUGUAAUUUGUAGAGGAUGCUUCGGGCAAGGCUGUGGUCUAAUUUGCUUGGAACAGCGAGUCAGAGAGGGUGAGAGUCCCGUCUAGGAUCGCAAGCCGCGUCCAUGUGAAGCUCCUUCGACGAGUCGAGUUGUUUGGGAAUGCAGCUCUAAAUGGGUGGUAAAUUUCAUCUAAAGCUAAAUAUUGGCCAGAGACCGAUAGCGCACAAGUAGAGUGAUCGAAAGAUGAAAAGCACUUUGAAAAGAGAGUUAAACAGUAUGUGAAAUUGUUGAAAGGGAAGCGCUUGCAAUCAGACUUGAGCGUGACGGUUCCCCCGGCCCCCUGGCCGGGCUACUCCGUCAUGUCCAGGCCAGCAUCGGUUCGGGUGGUUGGUUAAAGACCCCGGGAAUGUAUCUACCUCCGGGUCGACUUAUAGCCCGGGGUGCAAUGCGGCCUACCCGGACCGAGGAACGCGCUCCGGCUCGGAUGCUGGCGUAAUGGUUGUAAGCGGCCCGUCUUGAAACACGGACCAAGGAGUCUAACAUCUAUGCGAGUGUUUGGGUGUCAAACCCCUACGCGUAAUGAAAGUGAACGGAGGUAAGAACCCCUCACGGGGCGCAUUAUCGACCGAUCCUGAUGUCUUCGGAUGGAUUUGAGUAAGAGCAUAGCUGUUGGGACCCGAAAGAUGGUGAACUAUGCCUGAAUAGGGUGAAGCCAGAGGAAACUCUGGUGGAGGCUCGCAGCGGUUCUGACGUGCAAAUCGAUCGUCAAAUUUGGGCAUAGGGGCGAAAGACUAAUCGAACCAUCUGGUAGCUGGUUCCUGUCGAAGUUUCCCUCAGGAUAGCAGUAACGUUUUCAGUUUUAUGAGGUAAAGCGAAUGAUUAGAGGCCUUGGGGUUGAAACAACCUUAACCUAUUCUCAAACUUUAAAUAUGUAAGAAGUCCUUGUUACUUAAUUGAACGUGGACAUUUGAAUGUAUCGUUACUAGUGGGCCAUUUUUGGUAAGCAGAACUGGCGAUGCGGGAUGAACCGAACGUGAGGUUAAGGUGCCGGAAUGUACGCUCAUCAGACACCACAAAAGGUGUCAAUGCAUCCAGACAGCCGGACGGUGGCCAUGGAAGUCGGAAUCCGCUUAGGAGUGUGUAACAACUCACCGGCCGAAUGCAUUGGCCCUGAAAAUGGAUGGCGCUUAAGCGUGCUACCUAUACCUCGCCGUUGGGGUUGAAAUGAUGCCCCAACGAGUAGGCAGGCGUGGGGGUUUGUGACGAAGCCUCGGGGGUGACCCUGGGUCGAACAACCUCUAGUG
rnacentral:rRNA from 1 species